GGUGGCGGAGCGGGAUGAGGGCCUAAGUUGUUAUUUACAGCAGGACGGGGGAAACGGAGCAGCACGGAACGGGUAGUGCUUUCUGGAGGAGUCCGUUUUGAGACAGUCUUCAAGAGUAGUUCAAUGCCAAGGUCUCGCUCUAGAAGGGAGAGUUCGAAGCACUCAUGGUAACUUCUCCAUAACUUCAACAGAAGUGUUUUGGGAGGUGCGGGUGGGGUAGAAAAGCGAACAGAAGGCAAUGCUCCGUCCUCGGGACCGAGGACUCACGUGUGGAGACGAGGAAGGGUCACAAGGAGGCCACAGUGUACAUUCAAGAUGACGUUUCGAGGAAUGGGAACCUUGACUGAGCAAACACAUAGAAGUUCCCGUCCUUGUCUGGCCAGGGGCCGAAUGAAGAUAAGUGAAACCGGUGUUGCUAAGCUGAAGUGCAGGUGACUAAGGAGCUCUUGUUUUCACUCUGAGCUUCGAAUCUGUGCAAGGCCGCAAGUCUCGGAGACAACCCCGAAUACUCCUUUUUCACACUCUCCUGCUGAUUUCUUAGAGGUCAGACGGCUCUGGUUUUAAACUAUAUUUACGCAGCAGACUGAGAGAGAUAUCAAAGGUCUGAAAAACAAAGCUAACAGCUUCACGUAGCCAAGCCGCGUGGAAUCACCAGGGAGGGGGCUUCCCUUUCUCCUAAGGCACACGGGUAUUGAACGCAACGGACGGCAGGGUGGGUCAUAGAGAAAGUGGAACAGAUUUCCAAGAACUGAAGUCUUUGGGAGUGCGUUCUCUGGCCACCGGGGAAUAAAGUUACAUGACUCAAGAAAGAAGAAAGUGAAGUCCCAUCGAUGAGGCCGACAUUGAGCACCACACUGGGAAACCCGGUGAGUUCCAUUUGUGCUGAAGGGUUUUCAGUUCACAUCCGCCGGGCGCCCGUGCCUGACUUCGGUGCCGUCACGGACACUCCUCAGUAUGAGAUGCUGAUGAGAGACUGGACUCCAAUGUCGGGGGUCAGGACACAGGUCAAGAGGCCGGCUGAUUUCUGUGUAAAUGCAUACAUGAGAGGUGACUGAUGUCACCUCUGAAUGACUGAUAUCAUUCGGUCUGGAGAGAGAUUUUCAAGCCAAAGUAACUAUUAAUCCAGAACUUAGCUCAGAGCUUAGCUGCCAACAUUCCCUUAAGAUCUCAGCACGUUGUUGCGGAGUCAGGUAGAAAGGCAUUAGGUUGCUGAGUGGUGCCUGUCCUUUAGGUAAGUUUCUUUAAAGCUCUCCUUGUGUAUGUUAAAAUAGAUUUACCUUGGGGUCUAAUUACAACCCGUCUCAAUGAAGCAAUUUGAAGAUGAGGCUGCACAGCCAAUUCAAAGAGCAGCAGGAAUAAGGUGCCCUGUGUGCCCCGUGGGAUUUCUUUAUUGUUUUGGUUGAGUUGCUGGAGUCCCAGAUGCCUGCUGGGGCAUGAUGUAAUGCAUCGGAAGCAUCUCUCCGAAGUACCUCCCACUGCCUUCUGAGUCAGCACCUGGUCUGCACUCAUCCCAGCGUUAACGGUCCACCUGCGAUUCAGGCCAGAGAUUCCCGCUCAAAUGCUCACGCCCAGGAACAUGUCUAUUAGCUGUGCGACUCCUGGAUCCUGCCAGCCGAGGCUGUAGCAUUGAUUUCUCCAAGACUGGGGAGGGGGGAUGUGGCAGGGACAGGAUGUGUCUGCCAGGGGGGUGCACGCUGGCUCCAGAGGGACCCGGGAGGUGACAGCAGACUUCGGGAGAAGUUGCCAAAACAGCAGUACAAAGAACUCCCAUAUCCUCCUCGCCAAGAUGCUCCAGUUCUUGACAUUUCACCACAGUCGCCUCAUCGCUCUCCAUCCGCCCUGAUGAGUCUUUUCCUGGACCAUGGGAGAGGAAGUUGGACACCUGACACUCUGUCACUCUUACUGCUCCUAUUUGUGUUCCUCCAAACACAAGGCCACUCUCCCGUCUGACCCUGUCAGUCAGGCCAUCGACAAUGACAACACAGUCAUCAAGUCCCCCGCAAGGUCUGCCAACCGUCCCAACAACGUCUCGCCUCUUUCCUGGUCCCGGAUCCAGCCCAGGCUGACAUGCUGCAUGUAGGAGGCGUGUCUCCUCAGCCCCCUUCCACCUGGGACAGCUCUCGUCUGUGACGGAUCCCCGGGCCUUUCAGUCUGUAGUGUGUUCUGCAUCUUGGGUGAAGACUGGGUGUCCAGUCUUUCCUCACGUCCAGACUCGGACCAUCAGUAGCAUUAUGUUUAAUAGCCACAUCAAUACCUUCCCUUUUCCAUGAAUUCAUUCAAAACCAUUUAUCAAGCAUCCGGUGUGUCAGCUGAUGGCAAUAAGGCCGUGAACAAAAUAGAUGAAACUUCUUGUCUUCCUGAAGCUUACAGGGCAUGUCGUUAUACAGUUGUACUGCAGCUGCCUCAAUGAGUCUCCUCUUUUUGCCCCAUUAGACUCUUCCCGGAUUUUGUUAUGAUAAAUUAUGAGUCAUGUUUCACUGAACAUGCUUUAGUUGUAGCUUUGUGCGUGUCACGAUUGUUCCAUGCAGCUAUGCUCCUUGGAAGUGAAAGGAUCAGGUCUGAACAGCAGCUGUUUCAAAGAUAGCUUUACAUGGACUACCUGUUUCUUUCUAGAAGAGCCAGGUCUUCCCAAAUUCUUACCACUGGUUGUUACCACUUAACGUUAAUUCUUAUUGCUUCGUCAAUGAAAGCAAGCACGCUGUAUUUCUUGGCUCCUAUCAAAUGAAGGGCUGUUUAUUUGUAGCCUGUGUCUUCAAUUUUCUAGCUUAUAGAUCACAACACGACAGUGGUGAACCCAACUGUAGCCUCAGUUGAAAGAGCAAACUGCUGACACAGCAAUUUGUGUCAAUGUUUCAAAACUGAUGUAUUUUUUGUUUUUGUAUCACCAAAAACUGGUACAAGGUCUGCCUGGUACAUUGUAGGCAUGCAGCAAAUGUUGGAUUUAACUUUUUUCACAUGUUAUCAUUAUUAAACGUAGGUUCCGUUUUAAAUGGAAGGGACACUCAGUGUUUCUCUAGUUUUAUUCUCCUGUUCGAUUUACUCAGGGAUGAGGUAUGAAUAGUUUGUAGUGUACUUCAUUACCAUGGUAACAACCACAAACACCAGACUUUCAAAAUGACACUUAACAAGUGGCAAAGUGCUGAAAAAGUUUUUCAUUUGCAUAGCGACAUCUUGCUGGUUAGCAGUGAUCGAAAGUAACAGAGGGUUCGGAUAAAAACAUGUCAAGCUGACUACUUUUUGAGCCAUGGGAAUGUUUGUGAAGUCACUGGAAUUCAGAGACAGGGAUGCUUUGGCUAAUCUACAAUCUGUAAAACUUUGUAAAAUAAAAAUGAUACAGGAACAUGGAUGGGUUUGAGAGUAUCCUGCUAAGUGAAGUAAGUCAGAUGGAAAUGGGCAAAAACAUAAGAUUUCACUCAUAUACGGAAUAUGAAACAGAAGAUAACAAAGGAACUCACAAAGAAAACCAAACUCACAGGUACA